AGGUUUUAUUCCUCUCCCCCGCCAGCCCUUGCUAUACCCUGACAUGUUUCCAGUAUGUGACCAGUAAAGUGUCAAGGUUUUGUUUCCUGAGCCCAAAAUCUGUGUAUGUGGAGAGGAUUUGAGAUCACAGGGAAGCUUUGAACUGGAUUCUUCUCUCAGCUACACCAGUGUAAAUCAGGAGAAACUCAAGUGACUCCAGUGGAAUUACACUGGCAAAAAUCUGCUGUAACUAAAGGUAACACGUAUAAUGCCCCAAGCGCUCCUGAAAAUCCAGAUCACUUCAUUACCAAACCAGCGUGUUUGUGGUUAGUUUGUUGCAGCAAUGAGGUGCUGCCUGAAAAAGGGAUCUUGAGCCACAAAGCAGACCAGGUAAAGUGCUCUCUGCUUUGGAAGUGGCCUUUGUCUGCAUGGUGUUGAAUGCACAUAGCUAUUCAGGUGAAAGAUUGAAAAUCUGGUGGUAGACAGGAAAGACAGCAAAGGACUUUCCUCAAACUAAUACACCCAUAAAUAAAUAAAUAAAUAAAUAAGAGAUUGGUCUCCAUACUGUCAAAGGAUUUUGAGAUUUGAGUCCAUGCAGGCAUAAGAGGUUCUUAGACCCUGAAAUUUGAGUUUGGACAGGUGACAGAAGAAUUACUCUUGAUUCACCUUUUAUUAUCCUUGAGUUUCUCCUACUUCCAACUGGUUUUGAAUAAAACUUCGCAAGACACUGAGAUCAGUGACCGCUCAGGUCAAUGUACAGACUUACAGAGAAUGAAUAGCUGCAGUAGUUUCUGGGCAUUAGUCUUUAUUGCAUUCUGAUUUUGUUAAGUUCUCCUUUUCAAGGCAACAUGGAAUAAUAGGACUUGCUGAGGCACCAAAGACUCUCUCGGUAUUUGUGUGGCUAUGCAGGGACCGUUUUUGUAGGAUACUUGAAAUAUCAUGUGUUUUCACAGUUGUCAGUCUGGUAGCUGCAAGGAAUUAAAGUGAGGCAAACCUUAUAAAGUAAAAAGGGAGUUUAUACUCGAUUCCAUUAGAGUUGCAAAACAAAUUGCAGUGACCUUACACCGGAACAAUCUUUGAAGGGCAAACUUUGUUGUCCUCACUCCCUGUGCGAUCCUCUUUAAGCAGUCAUUAAAUAUUCAUUCAAGCAAUUAUUCUUUGUACAGCUGGACUAUAUUGCCUUAUUGCUAGUGAGAAUUUCUAGUGUUCAUAGUAAACUUUUUGUUUCUGCAUGUGGCAUUUCCACUGAAUGGUAAUGAAGAUAUACAGAGCACUACAUGAGUGGCAGGCUACAAUUUAUUCUGGCCCAUAGGUUUAAGUGCCUUUAAUUAUUCCUCACUAUAAUCAUGUCCUGCAGUCAUUUUCAUGCUGUUGGUUCAUUUGUGAGCCAUGUGUCAUCGGAGUGUAAUCAUGGAAGCAGCAACUCAAAAGACCCCUGUUACUAACUACCAUAUAGAAAGUGAUGAGCACAGAAUAAAAGUAUGUAGCAGAAAUGGCCAGAACUGAUUUGGUGAAUGAAACUUACUUUUAAACUUGUAGAUAUUCAUAGGUUUGCAGAUAGGAAGAGGUGGGGUUUUUUGUUUAUCCCCCCCCCCCCCCCCCGCUGGCUAAUGGAUGGGAUGAAACACCUUGGAAUGUUUUCUGAAUCUUCUAUCUACAAAACUGCCAAUAAAAUGAGUGGAAUUAGUGGAGAGGCAGGAGGCUUUAGCAUAGGGAAGUGGGAAUUAAGAUAUCUAGAUUCUGUGCACAAUAUGACCUCUGCUUACCUACCUGUAAAAUAGGUAUAGCAGUCAUCAGCUAUUGUACUAACAGGAGUGUUGUGUGGAUUAAUUCUUUGUGUACAAAUCUCGUCAAAUGAUUUGUUGGAUGAAAGUAGCCAAAAUACGAGGGCUUGGGGUGCAAAUCCAGAUCUGAACUUUCCCAGAUUUCAAAGGUGUUUGUGUAAUCCACUUAUCAGUAUAUGUUAUGCAUCCUCCUCUGUGCCCAAUCCACAGAGGGGGUGAGUCUGUCAAGGCUGCCAUUUAUACAGCCCGGCUCUUUAGCUCAAGCUGUAGAGGCAGGGCUGAUGAGAAGGGGAGAAAGGAGGGACAAUUAUACUAGUCCCCUGAGCUUGGGGGGCCUCCAAAACGUCUGCAACAUGUGGGUAAAUAAAGAAAUGAGAAGAGGGUGGGGUCCAGGAAAGCUGGUAUACCGGGUCCCCACAUUUCUCUCAACAGGCCAGUGCAGAGGUACAGGUUUUCUGCCUGGGAGGUUCUCCGAUCAGUCCCUGGUGUGUUGUCCAAGAGGGCAGCUGUCAUAUAAGUGGGAGCUUGUCUGGAAUUUCACAUGCUCAGACUGACCUUCCUCUGGCCAGAAGUAUGUAACCCACUGGUCAAACUGUGUGUGUUAUGCUUGAGCUACAGCCGAUGUUGGCAUGUGAGAGCUCCUGGCUCUUUAGCUCAAGUGGUAGACACUUUUAUGCUAUUAAUUCAGGACACCCCCUGUUGGAUCUCCAGUGUGUUGGCCAAGAUGGUGGAAAUCACAUUUGGAUCAAAUUUUUUUUUUAUUUUUUAACCCCAUCUGUGGUGAUGCAUACAGUGCAAUUACUAUUCAAUUAACACAUAUAAGAGAGAAUGCUAAAGUUGGAUUGCUUUCAAAAGGCUCACAGUACAUUUGUUUUAGGGUUGUGCAAACUAAUUUGGAUGAAAUAAGAACUGACUUCACGUUGUUUGCCCAAUGUUCAAACUAAACUGAAGGUGACCCAUUGGUUAAGGUCUAAAAAGUUUAGUUGUGAUCCUAAAAGCCCAUCAAUGCCAACUGGCAGAGAGCUCACUAUACUGUAACUCAUAUCAGGCCUGACACUCCCUAGCUGCAAUGCACUGUUGUCUUACUGUGGGUCUGAAAGGUCUCUUGUAAGAUACCAUAUGUAAAUUAGUAAAGAACUGGUCAUGAAUAUCAUUGUGUGGUGUAUGGAUGGGUUGUGUAUAGAAAAUUACGGAUGUGUACUGGAAAUACAUUCUUAAUAUGUACAUAAAUCAAACCUUCCCUAGACAAGGGAAUGUGGAUUUACCUGUCUGAUCAGCUUAACUGCAGGCAGAGGACAACAAAAGGACAUUUGCAUAUAAGGUAAACAAAGCAAUUAAGCUAACAAGUGGAAAACAGCUUAGUAAGCACAUUGGAGGACAGAGUCUGCACCCUCAGGAAGUCUUCCUAGCACUUGUGGCAAAGACAAUGGACUUUGAGGAGCAUAGAGACAUUUUAGUUAUCCAUCACUUAAGGGACAAAAGAGGCCAGACCUCUUGGAGUCUGUGAAAGGUGGAUCCUUCAACCAUGUGGUUUGACGUCUUUGGGAACUGACUAUAAGUGAGAAAUUACCUGAGAUCAUAUUGCCCUCUGUCAAGCUUUAGACACUUGAAAGUGUGUUGUAUUUUGUUUUGUUAGUAACCAUACCUGUCUCUUUUCUUUUUGCUUAGUAUCAAUUAAAUCUGUGCUCUUUAUUAAUAAACUUAUUCUUGCUUUAUUACC